GGUGGUGUAGCUCAAGUUAGAGCAUUUGCCUGGCACNUACAAGGCGCUGGGCUCCAACCCCAGCCCCACCA
rnacentral:tRNA from 1 species